CAUUCUCUGGUAUUUCUCCAAUCCAGGUAUACUGCGAUUUCAACUAGUAAUUUUCAUGAUUCCAAUUUACUUUCUCAAUCUUCUUUACUGAUUCUUAUACCAGAUACCGAAUAUGUGUACAUGCGUUGUUUGUAUGAAUUUCUUAACUACGGCAUUUGAAAAUACAUUCAGCCCUAUUCCCCAAUUUUGUUUCCAACUCUUUAUUCCC
rnacentral:lncRNA from 1 species